AUCGGGCGGCGGUGGCGAUCCUUCUCUGUAGAUUUCUCCCGCAAUUGGCCCCGGUACAGGAAGGAGAUGAGGGAAUUCAUGGAGACACCGCUCGGCAAAAGCUUAGGAGUAAUCUUCCUCGUCUGGUUUGUGUUAUCUGGCUGGUGGUUCAGAGUAGUAGUGAUAUCAUUGUGGGUGUUACCACUAGCUUCUCCUCUGCUCAUUG
rnacentral:misc_RNA from 1 species